GAGGCUAUAGCUCAAGUGGUGGAGCACAUGCUUAGCGGGCACAAGGUCCUGGGUUCGAUCCCCAGUGCCUCC
rnacentral:tRNA from 1 species